rnacentral:rRNA from 1 species
GUCUACAUCCAUGCCACCCUGAACAAGCCCGACCCUGUCUGAUCUCAGAAGCUAAGCAGGGUCAGGCUUGGUUAGUACUUGGAUGGGAGACCACCUAGGAAGACCAGGUGCUGUAGGCA